rnacentral:rRNA from 1 species
GAUGAACGCUGGCGGCGUGCCUAAUACAUGCAAGUCGAGCGAACGGACGAGAAGCUUGCUUUUCUGAUGUUAGCGGCGGACGGGUGAGUAACACGUGGAUAACCUACCUAUAAGACUGGGAUAACUUCGGGAAACCGGAGCUAAUACCGGAUAAUAUUUUGAACCGCAUGGUUCAAAAGUGAAAGACGGUCUUGCUGUCACUUAUAGAUGGAUCCGCGCUGCAUUAGCUAGUUGGUAAGGUAACGGCUUACCAAGGCAACGAUGCAUAGCCGACCUGAGAGGGUGGUAGGCCACACUGGAACUGAGACACGGUCCAGACUCCUAAGGGAGGCAGCAGUAGGGAAUCUUCCGCAAUGGGCGAAAGCCUGACGGAGCAACGCCGCGUGAGUGAUGAAGGUCUUCGGAUCGUAAAACUCUGUUAUUAGGGAAGAACAUAUGUGUAAGUAACUGUGCACAUCUUGACGGUACCUAAUCAGAAAGCCACGGCUAACUACGUG